UACAGAGGUCUCAAGCGUUGUUCGGAUUCAUUGGGCGUAAAGGGUGCGUAGGCGGCGCGGUAAGUCGGGGUGUGAAAUCUUGGAGCUUAACUCCGAAACUGCAUUCGAUACUGCCGUGCUUGAGGACUGGAGAGGAGACUGGAAUUUACGGUGUAGCGGUGAAAUGCGUAGAUAUCGUAAGGAAGACCAGUGGCGAAGGCGGGUCUCUGGACAGUUCCUGACGCUGAGGCACGAAGGCCAGGGGGAGCAAAACGGG
rnacentral:rRNA from 1 species